rnacentral:rRNA from 1 species
GUCUAUAGCCAUACCACCCUGAACACACCUGAGCUUGUCUGAUCUCACAAGCUUAAGCAGGAUUGGGCCUGGUUAGUAUUUGGAUGGGAAGUACAAUUUUGACAUAAUAAAUUAACAAAAUUGUAGGCC